rnacentral:sRNA from 1 species
GUCGGGCACAGUGGCUUAUGCCUGUAAUCCCAAUGGCUUGGGAGGCUGAGGCAGGAGGAUCACAAGUUCAAAGCCAGCCUCACCAAAAAUGAGGUAUUAAGCAACUCAGUGAGACCCUGUCUCUA